AGAAAAACAAACCUUGUUGUUGUUUACGCUCAAAGUGGUCAGAGUUGGUAUUCGGGGCAACGUUUUCAGGUCCCGAAGUUUAUUAUUGUCGAGUAUCAGUUCCUGUAGAUUUUGGAAGUCUCUGACGGCGGUGAUAGAGGAAUUUUCUCCGCUCGCUGGCCCGUGUACCAUACCUAGUUUCGACGAGAACACGUGUAAUUGCCCGAACAUACAAGGAUCACGAUUCCACGGAAGAGACAUUUUAGGUGUGCGUUAAUUAAAAAAUACGUCGAUUACCUGUCCACAUCGAACCGUCAACGCAGUCCUAUUAAAAUCUCGCUGGCCCCGUUCCGCCAUGUUUCAUGCACGACACCAUAUGAUCAGGAAUUAUCAUAAAAUAAUGAGUGAUAAUACUUUGGAUCGGCAGCGGUGCCACCAUUACGAAAGAUAUUUCCAGUAGAACAAACAUUAAUAACGCGGCUCGUUGGUCUAGGGGUAUGAUUCUCGCUUAGGGUGCGAGAGGUCCCGGGUUCAAAUCCCGGACGAGCCCGUUUUUUUUUAUUUAUAGUUAUUGUAUCUUUUUACACAAAUAAAAUCUAUCAGAUUUUAAUUACAAAAUGAACUAUGAAAUUUCUUUUAAUAAAUAUGCUAAAAAUAUUAAAGUAUAGUAUGAAUGGAGGGAUUAGUAAAAAUAAUUCUAUCGCAAAUUUUUACAUAUAUAUUUUCAAAUAGAUCGUAUAUGAAUAAAACAAUUCAUUUUGAAAAGUGUAUAGAUAUUCCUUACUUCAUGCUAUAUAAGAAUAAAAUCUCGUUAUAUACAAUUUUGUUAUUUAGAGUAAAAAUUGAUUAAUAUAUUUACAAUUGGAGCAAUAUCCAGAGAAAGAAUUCCAAAUAAAUCAUAAAACACCCAAUUCUUGAUCAUAGAUGUACCGUUCCAAUUUGUAUCAUAAAGCAUAAAAAACACUGGGUAAACAUUUACAAUUGCACAGCAAUUACUACACUCUAAUAAAUGUAUCAUAUUAAUUCGAUCUAAUAUUAAAACUUUAUACAAAAAUGUAUUCAAGUUUAAAAAUGAAACAAUUCUUACUCUCAGCCCUUUCUUCUGAAUAUUACAUUUAUAUUAUUAUCUUAUAUUCCCAUGAUUUGUAUUCUUCUAUAAUAAAAAAUCAUUUAAACCCUU